GGUCUUGUCAUCAUGUAGAAUCGAUGCUCAAUUGCUAAACCAUGCAUUAUCGUAUUAUUUAAGUAUACUACGUACAAGUUUAAUAAAAAAAACUAAAGGUUUUCUGGAGACUCUUUAACGCUUCUCUUGCUUGACAUUUUGAAGUAUUUCCGAUCUGAAAGAGACCUUCAGAAAAUAAUCAGUUUAAGUCAAAAUAUUUUGUGGCAAAUUUCCCAGAUUUUAUAUAUCGCUUCUGGGGAUGGGAAAGAUGCCACAUUCUACAUAUUGCUUCUAAUUAGAGAAGAAGACACCGAGCACAACGCCGUUAAGUUCUUUUAUUCAACAAUAUUUUUUCUUAUAUGACAAAAAUGUUAGCGUAGUUUCAAUAGGCAUUUAUUUUUUUAUUAAACAUACGGUAUUACACAAGUUGUAAUUAAGCUAAAUAUAAUCUUCAGGACUUCAUCCCUUGGACUGAAUCUCUUGCACAUCAUGAAUGCAAAAUUGUUAUGGUCUCAUUUAAAAAUUAUUUACAAGUUUAAAAAAAGUCUUUUCAAACUGAUGUCUUUAAAUCGUCGUUAUAUCCCUUGGGGAGGAUUUUCAAACAUCUGAAAGAAAUUGUUUCUGGAGGAUUGUUAGUUCAAGAAUUUGAAUAUUUAUAGUGGAAAGUUUCCCAAACAUUGAACUUGAGAAACUUCCACAUGUGGACAUGCAUGCCCUAUUUAUUCAUUGAUAUAGAGAAAAACGCACAAGACCACAAUUUUUGGCUUUUAUUAUUUUUCACUAAAACGUUUACCUAUUUACAUAUGGUGUAUAAUUGCUACAAGCAUACCGAAUUAAAACACCGAACCAAAUUUUAACGACCACUUGUAAUUAAGAUGCCUAAUUUCAAAGUAUAAAG